UACGUAGGGUGCGAGCGUUAAUCGGAAUUACUGGGCGUAAAGCGUGCGCAGGCGGUAAUGCAAGACAGAUGUGAAAUCCCCGGGCUUAACCUGGGAACUGCAUUUGUGACUGCAUUGCUGGAGUGCGGCAGAGGGGGGGAUGGAAUUCCGCGUGUAGCAGUGAAAUGCGUAGAUAUGCGGAGGAACACCGAUGGCGAAGGCAAUCCCCUGGGCCUGCACUGACGCUCAUGCACGAAAGCGUGGGGAGCAAACAGG
rnacentral:rRNA from 1 species